rnacentral:lncRNA from 1 species
UAUACCUUCCCGAAGUGCAAUCGGUGUACUAGGAAGAGACAAGUCCACAGCAGGAGCAGGGUCAGGUGCAGGAUAUGAAUCAGCUGGGCCUAAUGCGGGGUGCGGACAACGACGAUAAGUCAAGAGGAGUGUUCCUGUGGCAGGGAGUCGAGGAGGAGCCACACUAGACUCCCCAACGGUUGGAAUGGGUAAGAUGUCUGUAGCGAAAGGUGAAGAAUGAGCUAUAGUAGGCCCUGGUAAGACUUCUGUGGCGGAAGGUGAAUGAGGAGCCAUAGUGGACUCCUUAAAGGUCGAUAUAACUAACAUCUCAG